rnacentral:rRNA from 1 species
AGUAACACGUGGGUAACCUACCCAUAAGACUGGGAUAACUCCGGGAAACCGGGGCUAAUACCGGAUAAUAUUUUGAACUGCAUAGUUCGAAAUUGAAAGGCGGCUUCGGCUGUCACUUAUGGAUGGACCCGCGUCGCAUUAGCUAGUUGGUGAGGUAACGGCUCACCAAGGCGACGAUGCGUAGCCGACCUGAGAGGGUGAUCGGCCACACUGGGACUGAGACACGGCCCAGACUCCUACGGGAGGCAGCAGUAGGGAAUCUUCCGCAAUGGACGAAAGUCUGACGGAGCAACGCCGCGUGAGUGAUGAAGGCUUUCGGGUCGUAAAACUCUGUUGUUAGGGAAGAACAAGUGCUAGUUGAAUAAGCUGGCACCUUGACGGUACCUAACCAGAAAGCCACGGCUAACUACGUGCCAGCAGCCGCGGUAAUACGUAGGUGGCAAGCGUUAUCCGGAAUUAUUGGGCGUAAAGCGCGCGCAGGUGGUUUCUUAAGUCUGAUGUGAAAGCCCACGGCUCAACCGUGGAGGGUCAUUGGAAACUGGGAGACUUGAGUGCAGAAGAGGAAAGUGGAAUUCCAUGUGUAGCGGUGAAAUGCGUAGAGAUAUGGAGGAACACCAGUGGCGAAGGCGACUUUCUGGUCUGUAACUGACACUGAGGCGCGAAAG